UAAUGGCGCCUUCCUUCGGGGCAUGAGAGACAGGUGGUGCAUGGUUGUCGUCAGCUCGUGUCGUGAGAUGUUGGGUUAAGUCCCGCAACGAGCGCAACCCUUAUCCUUAGUAGCCAGCAGGUAAAGCUGGGCACUCUAGGGAGACUGCCAGGGAUAACCUGGAGGAAGGUGGGGAUGACGUCAAAUCAUCAUGCCCCUUAUGAUUUGGGCUACACACGUGCUACAAUGGCGUAAACAAAGGGAAGCAAGACAGUGAUGUGGAGCAAAUCCCAAAAAUAACGUCCCAGUUCGGACUGUAGUCUGCAACCCGACUACACGAAGCUGGAAUCGCUAGUAAUCGCGAAUCAGAAUGUCGCGGUGAAUACGUUCCCGGGUCUUGUACACACCGAA
rnacentral:rRNA from 1 species